rnacentral:rRNA from 1 species
CCUACGGGAGGCAGCAGUGAGGAAUAUUGGUCAAUGGACGUAAGGCUGAACCAGCCAUGCCGCGUGCAGGAAGAAGGAUCUAUGGUUUGUAAACUUCUUUUAUAGGGGAGUAAAUGUAUACACGUGUAGCUAUUUGCAUGUACCCUAUGAAUAAGCAUCGGCUAACUCCGUGCCAGCAGCCGCGGUAAUACGGAGGAUGCGAGCGUUAUCCGGAUUUAUUGGGUUUAAAGGGUGCGUAGGUUGUUUGUUAAGUCAGCGGUGAAAGUUUGUGGCUCAACCAUAAAAUUGCCGAUGAAACUGGAAGACUUGAGUUUGUUUGAGGUAGGCGGAAUGCGUGGUGUAGCGGUGAAAUGCAUAGAGAUCACGCAGAACACCGAUUGCGAAGGCAGCUUACUAAGCCAUAACUGACACUGAAGCACGAAAGCGUGGGGAGCAAACAGGAUUAGAUACCCCAGUAGUC